GAGAUCAAAAGGCCCAAACGCCUGCAGGAAGCUAAGCUGUGAACCACUGUGGACGGCCGGCCGUGGGGAGACCCUCUGGCUGGUCCACAGCCCACGCCCUACAAACUGGGGAAGCCGCCUUGAGGCUGGGGGUGCUCCCUUUCUGUCAAAGGCUCCUGCCACCGGUAGACCUCAGUUUCUCCAGCUGUCAAGGAGAGUCCGUGAACGUGGCCCUCCCUUCCAGGCCUGGUGGGGGGAGCCAGGAGACGCUCGCUGGGCUGGCUCCCUGCCACUGCUGAGUCCUGCCGCCAGAGGGCAUGCGGCCCUCCUCCGAGCCCCCGCCCGCCCUGUGCUCCGCGGGGCCCCACAGCAAGGCGGUUGGCUGCUAUGCAGGUCAGAUGGGUUAGGGCUCCACUGCGUGCACGGAGGGCUGGGGACCCUACCUGGCCAUUGCCUGCAAGGCCAGGGGCUCCUUGUCCCCCGGGGCAGUUCGGGCCGUCAGAGGCAGGCUUACAGGAGGGAGAGCGAGCUGUAGGUGGGGCAGGGCAAAGAUGUGGAGGGGUGUGCGUGUUGGCUGUGGACGCAGCUCCCCCUCAGGGCCCCUCCUCUGCUUGGACCCUUCCCCUGGCUCCCUGGAAGUAGAUGGGAGUGAAGUUCCCACCAGACCAGCUCUGCCUGGCAGGGGAUUCUAGAGACCGUGGGAGGUGGCUGGCUGAGACGGGCAGGGAUGGCCUGAAAGCAGGGGCCAGGGCAUGUGGGCAGGACUGGACCAUGUGCAUGGAGGUGUUGGGACUGACCACCCAGCCACGGGUACCCAAAAUGGCUGGGAUGGGGCCAUCGGGGCUCAGCCCAGACACCAAGGAGCCAGGGACAGUGUGGCAUCUUGGGGCUCAGGGUGGGCGCCCCCCCCCGCCCCUGCCAUGUGAGCAAGGCAGAGAUGAGCCAGGCUUUUCAGUCUGGUGUUGGAGCUGCAGGGAACCCUGAAGAGAAAUGGCCUGGGGGGGGUAGCAUGUGAAAGUGGCACUGGAGCCAAGAGAUGGGUCUGGGUAGGGGUCCCACAUCUUGAGAACCGACCUGGGGGCACACAAUGUCCUGGAGGGGGAUGGGAAAGACGACCCCUCCUCUAAGUGGCCCAGCUGCGGGUGAGAAGAUGUGACCAGCCUUAACAUUAGGGCUCCCUGCCCAAUCUCACUGACCGGGACCAGAUGCCCUCUCUGAUGAUGCUGAUGAGGGCCAGGUGAGACAUCCCUGGGGCCCCAUGGCGAGGAUCACAGGACCACAGCCAAGUUCGGGGCUGACCCCUGCGCUUGGGGCCCCGAAGCCUGGCAAGUGACAGCCCCUUGGCAAGGGGAGGUUAAGGUGACAGAGAUGGGACAAUGGGCGUCAUCCUGGUCCCUUGAGAGGCUGCAGCCUGGAGGCCCAGGUGGAAAGAGACCCACUCAGGCAGAUGUGGGGAGUGAGAAGCGCAGGUGGAGGACCCCGUGGUCGAGAUGGUCUCUCUUUGAACAUGCUGAGAACAAUCUGGACCUCCCUGCCAUGUACCAUGUCUGGGAGAGAAUGUGGGAGGGCCCCUGAUGCCCUCUGCCCCUCCCCCAGGAACCCCCAUUGCAGGGCCCAGCUGAGGGUCAGUACUGUGACCCCCAUACCCCAGGCCUCCAUGUCACUCGGAUUGUAGCAGCGUGCCUGCUUUUAAACAGCUUCACCUCACCUGGUGAAAUCACUCCUAUGGGGCUUGGGGUCCCCCCAAAAGGGUCUUCCUUCCUGGGCCUUCCACCAGGUGGGGCAUCUUCUGGGCCUCGCUCCCCCGGCCCAGACUGCGGGGAGAUCUGGAGCCCCCGCUCAAGGCAGUUGCCCAGCAGCUGUUGGGUGGUUGAGCCUUUAGGAGCACCAGAAAGUUCCAUCCCACCGUGAUGGGGUGAGGAUCUUAUAGGAUGGGGAGUCCUCGAACGGGUAGAAGCUGUCCCAAGCAUCAGGGGCAGCUGGUGGGGGCCCCAGACCAGGGGUAGAUGGUGUUGGGGGUUGAGAAAACACUGUCCCGGAGCUGAGUGUUUUCGUAGAACGAGAGGAAAGACAGGAUGUCACAUGCCUCCUGCCCACCUUUGAGAGACAGGAAGCCCAGCCUCCUGUGGUGUCAGCCUGCCGGGCUUGCAGGGUGGACCUUUCCUUGAGGAGCUGUGGGUCUGGGCCGGCUCCCCACGGGCAGUGCUCCAGUGCCAUGGGGUGCCCCGCAGGGUCACAGAGCAGGCAGGCCAUCUCCCUCAGCCUCUGGGAGCUGUUCCCAGAUCCCGCAGCAGGCCUCUUCAUGCCCAUAGGUGAUGGCCAGGAGGCUGGCUGCUGGGCAGCAUGUUGGGGGCAGUGGGUACCUCCUGGCUUUGGCUAGGCUAUGGCCUGGAAGCCUCCUCAGAGACCCAUGGGUCCCAGGUGGCCCCAUCUUGCCCAGAGCGCCUGGGGACCCCAGUGUCCAGCUGGUUGAUCUCUUGUCAUAGCAGACAUUCCCUCUCCCCAGAGCACUAGCUUUGGGGACAGGAUGGCUCCUAGGAGCCCACAACGGGGUCUCUUCGCUCCACCCCCAGGUCUUCUGGUAUCUUCCUCUGUGGUCCCCAGGGAAGCCUUAUCUUUGACUCAAGAAGCCCUGAGACUGUGCUGAGCUGCGUGCACAGGGAGGGGGGCAGGCGGCUGCUUGCGUGCAGGCCCUGGGACCUGAGGCCCAGUGUGUGGACUGCCCUGGCCAUCUGCUGUGUGUCACUGGCUUUCCCCGUUCCUGUUCCCUUUUGUCAAAUGGGGAGAUGCCACCCCCCUGCAGGCCUUCAGCCUAACCCUCCAACUGCCCUGGGGCUGCUCUGGUCUGAACGGUGGGGGCAGUGCUCCCAGUGCUUGUCCAGCUGGACCUGGCGGCAACUCCCCGCUUCCCCCGGUGUUUAGGGUCCCUCCUUCCCGGGCCAUGUGUCCAGUCGCCUCACUGACUUCUCCGUGGUAGGGUUGGCUUUGUUAAAGGGGGUGGCAGGGCUUCGUGGUUGACAGAAAGGGGCAGGGGCAGGCGCAGGGCACGGGGUGGGGGUGUGGGCCCCAGGGGCUGUGGGAGCCCCAGGCUGAGGGGUGUCCCCCGAGCAGGCAGACUACCUGCCCAUGGCCAGUCCGUCCCCUGGGAGACCAGGAAGGCUUGGGGAGGUCCACCCAAUAGCCGGGUGAUCAGAAAGUCUGCAAAGGGAUGGUGGCCCUCAGUCAGGGGACCGGGGGCAGGAAAGAAAAGGGGAAGAAGGGGGAGGAGGGAAAGAAAAGUGAUAAAAAAAAAAAAAAAAAGGUAAGUGGCAGGUGGAGAGGGCUGGCUGAGGGCUCUAGAGGCCUGAGCAGUGGCAGCAGCCACCAGGGUGGGGGGCCUGGGCCCACCGGGACCCCAGCCGCACCGGUGGCUGGACGCACAGGAACCCCCGGCCUAUGUUGGGGCUGAGCCCUCACUGCGGGGGGGGGGGGACUAGAGCUGGGCCUGGCUUUCAGGUGGCUGUGGGCGUUUGUUUGCCAAACCGGUGGUGCCGGUGGUGGGGAGAAGAUGCUUUCUUUACCAGCUGUUACCUGAUUUCGGUGUGAAGCGCAGACACCCGGAUGCGGGUGCAGCUUCUUCUGCUGUUGCCUGUGUGGGCGGUAGGUUCAGAGGCCGGCGCUGCAGGCCUGACCAGGACUGGGGGCAGAGGUUAGGCUGGUGGGGGCAUUGCAGGCCCACAGCUCCUUCCGGCUCUCCCAGCAGCCCCCAGCCAGGGGGGAGCCACAGCCUGGGGGGGGCCAGGUGUCUGCAGCAGCUCAGCUUCGUGCCUGCAGGGCAGGCCGUGAUGGGGCGGGUGGACUGCUCGGCAGCCCCCAGCCCUCGAGCCCUUGGCCAGGGUUGAGCACCACCGCAGUGUCCAGCUGAGGUCCUUCUCCCCUCCAGGACGUCUGCUUGGGCUCUCACACCCAGAGGGCCACGACCUUCACCCCCUUCUCUUCUCGGCUCAGGCCAGCCCAGCCUUGACGUUGGCUUAACCCUUGCAGGUCGGCCACAGCGUCCGGACAGACUGUUCCCAUGGCCCUCGGCCUCCUGCCCCAUGCACUGCUGUCCUGAGCUGGUUCACAGCCCGCUGCCCCGGUCCCCAGCCAGAGGGACCCUGUUAUCCUCUCGGUCGGGUCACAUGCUCCCAGACCUCCCAGACUGAAUGUGUGACCUGGCUCCCCGUCCUCUGCGCCACCUGUCCUACCUUCCCCUGUCCCUGCACCCUCGCCUCUCACCUCUAGCCAGGUUCCCAGACACAUGAGCUCCUACCCAGCACCUCCAGCCUCCCGACCCUUGCCUGGACAUUGUCUCCUGGUGUCCCCACACCAGCCCCUUCAGCACGGCAGCCCCCUCUGUUCCCUGCCCCUGGAGGCCCUUCCUGCACCCUGGCUUUCUGACACCUGGAGUAUUCCCUUCGGAUAUCCCUCCUGUCUCCCCGGGAAUGCCGGCUCCUUGGGGACAGGAACUGGAGUUUGUUUACUUGCCCCUGUACCCUGCGCAGAGUGGCCCCUGGGUCAGGAUUGUUGGGUGCACAUAAAAGUCAGCCACUCACAUAGAAGGACAGCAAACCGCACGGUUCCACGUGUGGACCCCCACACCAGUCUCAGCCACACGGUCAUCCACGGGGCAUGGCCCGGUCCGUGGCUCCUGCUGUGCGCCCAAACUGGGUGUCCCCGUCCCUGCGGGGCCCAGAGCUAACCCCGCUGCAAAUCUGCUGUGUAGCAGGCUGCAGACCCCCACGGUGGGGGGUCAGCUCAAACCCCACAGUGGACCCCCAGGGAAGCUUCGGGAUGUCUGCGACCUGGGAUCAGUGCUGCCCCUCAGCCCUCUGGACCCCACCUCGCCUCCUGCCACAGAAAUGACCGCCCCGCUUUACAGUGCCUAGAGGCUGUGCGUGGGGGCAGCAUCUCCAGAGGCCGCCCCGCCGCCGCCCCAGGCAGGUGUGUGCGCAGCUCUGACCCUCAGGCCUCAGCCCUGCCGUUCAGACGUGCUGGGCACUUUGCUGAAGACGCUCGCACCGCAGUGCUGCAGACCCCGCCUCCUUCCGCUGUGCUGCCGUCAGGCGGCCUUGGCUUGGCCUGGAGCCCCUCUGGGGCCCGGCUAGGGCCAACUUGAUCUGGGCAUACAUGAUUUGGCUUUAGUGGGGUCUACUCAGGGGCAUGCAGUCUCUCCAAGAGCGAAGAAGUUUUUGCUAUUUGGGAGGGGGAUGGUAGACUGGGGUGAAUGGAGCUCCCCCCCAACCAAAAUCCAUGCCCACACAGAACCUGUGAAUGGGACCUCAUUCGGAGAUUAGGGUCUUUGCAGACAUAGUCAAGUUAGGAUGAGGCCAUGUUGGAUGGCCCUAAAUCCAGUACGACGGUGUCCUUGCAAGAAGAGAGACAUGUGGACACAGGAGGCGCCGGGGAGACGUCCACGUGGUGACAGAGGACACAGACCACGGAAUGCAGAUCGCAGGCAGCCGCCAGCAGUGGGACAAGCCUGGAGCACGUGCUCCCUCAGAUCCUCCAGGAGGAGCCGACUGUCUUGAUUUUGAUAUUCUGGCCUCCAGAAUUGGAGCCCCUCUCAGUCUGCAGCGGCUCAGGUUCCACUGGGCUGGACUUGCUGCUUUUCCCUGGGAGCACUUACACCGCCCUGUGUUUUCCACCUUUACCCAGGACCAUGUGUAAGGCUGUCUCCCGAACCACACCCAGGGUGCAGGGGGACAGGGUGAGGACUCGGGUGGAGCGCAGGCAUGUGGCCACAUGGCCCUCAGGCUGGGCCAUGAUAGGGGUCCCUGCAGACUGUCCAGGGGACCUCACAACCCUCUCUGCACCUUCUCAGUGUGCAGGGCCGAGCUCAUCAGGGCACACUCUCCUGCGUGCACCCGUCCCCUCCCUGCUCUCCCAUCGGUGGCCUCUUGAGGUUCAAAUGCACCAUCCUACGCAUCCAGUCAAGAACCCGAUGACAGUAAAUGAUCAUUAGAAAAAAAGUUUCACCUGUGGUUUCUACUUGAUGAGUGUGGAGUUUUGAUCAAUGGGACGAUUCAGAUAUGAAGGGGCGCACUAAAACCUCAGGUUGAAGUGGUUGAUUGUCAACUUCUCCCAGUGCUUCUGUCAUUCCUGGCUUUACAUAUUUUUCUGUUUAUUUUUAGUUCCUAUGUAUCCGCAUUGGUUCUAUAGCUUCGUUCUAUUGUUGCUUUUACCAGUAUUUCUAUUUUGUCAGAAAAUACGAUUGAUAAUUCCAGCUUUCUUUUGGUUCGUGCUGCUUUUUACGUUUCCCACUCUUUCAUUUCCAACCUAUUGGUGUCUUUUUGUUUAAAGUGUUGUGUCUCGCAGACCAUAUGUUGUUGAAUCUUUUCCUUUAAAACCAGUUUGACACUAUCUUUUAAUUGGCGAGUUUGACCCAUUUACAUUUAUUGUGAAAGUGUUUAUUGUAUAAUUAUUAUUUUAAAAGAUUUUACUUAUUUG